rnacentral:tRNA from 1 species
GCAACAGAAGUCCAACCGGUCGGACGUCUCCCUUCCAAGGAGGAAGUUGCGGGUUCGAAUCCCGUCUGUUGCU